rnacentral:rRNA from 1 species
UACGUAGGGGGCAAGCGUUAUCCGGAUUUACUGGGUGUAAAGGGGGCACAGACGGCGAUGCAAGCCAGGAGUGAAAGCCCGGGGCCCAACCCCGGGACUGCAUUGGGAACUACCGGGCUGGAGUGCCGGAGAGGUAGGCGGAAUUCCUAGUGUAGCGGUGAAAUGCGUAGAUAUUAGGAGGAACACCAGUGGCGAAGGCGGCCUACUGGACGGUGACUGACGCUGAGGCUCGAAAGCGUGGGGAGCAAACAGG